AUCUACCACUCCUUAAUGUGAAAAGGUUGACCAAAAUAUUUCUUGGCAUUGUUGAACUACUUUCUGGGUUCUUUUGGUAAUCUUAUUCCAUUGAUUGCUCUCUAUUACUCUCUUUGAAGGUUUAUGACUAUAAGACUUUCAUGAAGAAAAGGCAGUUCAGCAAAUAGGGAUACUGGUAGUUGCAUGAAGAAAUCAUGAUAUAUUGUUUGAAAAUAUUUUAUCCUUUCAGUCAAAAUCAAACUGUAGGAGUUGGUGCAUUUGCGGCUUUUGAAUGUGUUCUUUUUAUCUGAAGAGAACAAAUUUAUAUUGUUUUAUAUGCAGAGUUCAUAGCUUAGGCAUUGGACAAAGCAUAGCCAUGACUAAUGACAGUUUUUUGUCUGGAUAUAGUAAUUCCUUUAAUUAUGCAGCUUCUAAUCCUACAUUAUGCUUUAACUCUCCAUUAUGAUGCUUAUUUUAUUGCUACACGUUAUCAGGUUUGCUGUUGGCCACUUACUAAUAAUGGAGUGGUGGCUGAAGACUUGAACAAGAUUCAUCUUAUUGCUCCCAAAACCAGGAGAGCAGCUCACAUGUUUAUCAGCAACAGUUGCAACUUGUAAGUGCUUAAACUUUUUAUCUCUUCUAAUGCUUCAAGGCUCUAGAAAGAAACCAUGCAUGGGCAAAUGAGAGAAAGGAAGGAAGAUGGAUGAGAGACAAAAUGCCAUUUUCAGUGACAUUGAUGCUUACUUUUUGUCUUUUCAAAACUCUGUAGUUUUUUUGUUUUGAAUCAAAUUUAUGAAUCACAAGGGAUAAGAGUGUUAUGGGAUGGUGGAGGGGAACUUUUUGGUUUUUGAGUUUAACGAUGAAAGUGACUUUCUCUAUCAUGCAAAAAUAAUCAAUUUUUAUCUACUUGCAUGUUAGCUCUUAUGCCUGUUUGCAUGUCCAUGAACCUACUUGCAGCGUACUCCGGAUGAAUAAAAUUUAAGGCUUAUAGGCUGUAGGCAAAAACUGCAAUUCCUUUCCUAUCCAUUUAGUUUCUCAAUAAUUUGAGCUGUCAUCAACUCCAUAAUCAUACAAGAGAGUCAAUAAUCUUGUUAACGUUAAACAUCUCCGCCUUUUCUUUUCCUCCAUUAGGAAACUACAUUAUAUUGGAGUAAGAGUUUAAUUUAAUUCCUUGAUCUGUAUUCAAAGUCAUAUAGACUGCUUCAAUUUUCUCUUAUAUGGGUGAAUUCUUGCAUUAUGAUCCUAGUGUGAGUGACAUUCAUCGAAAAAUCUACAUUAUCAAGUGCUAAAGUUUUAGUGCAACUUUUUUUAAAAUCAUAGUGAGAGUUUUCAAGAUCCAUGUGGGAACAUUGUUAAACAAUUCAUUUGAUGCAUUUGUAGUAUUCCUACAAACUUAAUUCCUCUUAUUUUCUUGCCAAAUUUUGCAUUUUUCUUUAUACAAUAUAUGGGAUUUUGAAAACUAAUUAGGAAACCUAGAAAGGAUGAAGGUGCUAGGAUAGGUGACUGUUUUUGCAUUGAGCACUGAGAUCAAAACUUGUAACCAAUUAAGUAAACCAAUACCUCCGUAGGGCUAGUCUGUGUUUAGAUCAACUAUGGCAAGGACUGGGGGAGUCUAGAGGUUUGGUUCCCUUAGCCCGAAGCCUAUACCUAAUUCACCCUUUGAUUGGUUGGGGAUGUUGAGAGAAUGAAGAACUAGGCCAACAGUAUGUUAUGGUAUGAUUUGGAUUAAAAGAGGGCAAAAACAAUUCUUUCUAAUUGUUCAUUUUGCUUCUUAAAUUUCCUUUUUAAUGCACUGUCAUUGAUUGACAUUUUUUCCUCUUAGGUAUGGACCUGAAAAAAAAAAAAAACACAGGCGAAUCAGAUGCUCAAGUCAGAGAUUGUCAAAUCAACUCAGUCGAUAUUUUUUCCUUUAUUUUACAAGUUCAUGCCUAAAUAAUGGAGAUGCGAACAUCAUGAAUUUUUAAAAAUG
rnacentral:lncRNA from 1 species